rnacentral:rRNA from 1 species
GGAAUAUUGCACAAUGGGCGAAAGCCUGAUGCAGCAACGCCGCGUGUCCGAUGAAGGCCUUCGGGUUGUAAAGGAUUUUUCUGGCUGAAGAGAAAGGACAGUAGGCAAGGAAUCAGCGUCGGAUAACUACGUGCCAGCAGCCGCGGUAAAACGUAGGACGCAAGCGUUAUCCGGAUUUACUGGGCGUAAAGCGCAGGCCGGCGGUGAAGAAAGUCGGACGUGAAAGCCCCAGGCUCAACCUGGAGAGGCCGUUCGAAACUACUUGACUGGAGGGCAGCAGAGGAACAUGGAAUUCCGGGUGGAGUGGUGAAAUGCGUAGAUAUCCGGAGGAACACCAGAGGCGAAGGCGAUGUUCUGGGCUGUACCUGACGCUGAACUGCGAAAGCCAGGGUAGCGAAC